rnacentral:lncRNA from 1 species
UUUGUUGUUAUGUAAUUUAGCUAAAAUGGGUUUUUAUUUGUUGUACGUUAUCUUUCUUUUGUUGUCACUUUUUUUAUGCCCCACCUACGAUAAUGAGGGGCAUUAUGUUUUCUAGUCUGUGGGUCCGUUCGUUCGUCCGUCCGUUUUUGUCUGUUCGUCCGUCCGUUUGUUCGUUCGUUCGUCCCGGUUCAGGUUAAAGAUUUUGGUCAAGGUAGUUUUAGUGUUGAAGUCCAAUUCACUUGAAACUUAGUACACAUGUUCCCUAUAAUAUGAUCUUUCAAAUUUUAAUGCCAAAUUAGAGCGUUUACCCCAAUUUAACGGUCCACUGAACAUAGAAAAUGAUAGUGCGAGUGGGGCAUUCGACGUGUACUUGAGACACAUUCUUGUUUUAUCCUCUUUUUACUCAAUUUAAAACAGUUGCAACAAAUGACACCAACGCACUUUUCUUUGUUUCUUGAAUUGUAACUAACAAGUUAAUCGCAUUAUUAAACUGUUUGACUACAAACUGCUUAUAUGGUACAGAACGGUUUGUCAGUAAUUCACCACGCAUGCAUAUAAAAAAAGAG